ACUGAGGGUGCGAGCGUUAAUCGGAAUUACUGGGCGUAAAGCGAGUGUAGGCGGCUAUUUAAGUCGGAUGUGAAAGCCCCGGGCUCAACCUGGGAAUUGCAUUCGAUACUGGGUAGCUAGAAUUUAGUAGAGGUAAGUGGAAUUCCGGGUGUAGCGGUGAAAUGCGUAGAUAUCCGGAGGAACAUCAGUGGCGAAGGCGGCUUACUGGACUAAAAUUGACGCUGAGGCUCGAAAGCGUGGGGAGCAAACAGG
rnacentral:rRNA from 1 species